rnacentral:rRNA from 1 species
AUUGAACGCUGGCGGCAGGCCUAACACAUGCAAGUCGAACGGUAACAGGAAGAAGCUUGCUUCUUUGCUGACGAGUGGCGGACGGGUGAGUAAUGUCUGGGAAACUGCCUGAUGGAGGGGGAUAACUACUGGAAACGGUAGCUAAGACCGCAUAACGUCGCAAGACCAAAGAGGGGGAGCUUCGGGCCUCUUGCGAUCGGAUGUGCCCAGAUGGGAUUAGCUAGUAGGUGGGGUAACGGCUCACCUAGGCGACGAUCCCUAGCUGGUCGGAGAGGAUGACCAGCCACCCUGGAACUGAGACACGGUCCACACUCCUACGGGAGGCAGCAGUGGGGAAUAUUGCACGAUGGGCGCAAGCCUGAUGCAGCCAUGCCGCGUGUAUGAAGAAGGCCUUCUGGUUGUAAAGUACUUUCAGCGGGGAGGAAGGGAGUAAAGUUAAUACCUUUGCUCAUUGACGUUACCCGCAGAAGAAGCACCGGCUAACUCCGUG